rnacentral:rRNA from 1 species
GGGUCAGUAGGUUGGUCGUGCCACCGGUACGUUCUGGUCUCACUGAUUCCUCCUUCCUGAAGAACCGUAAUGCCAUUAAUUUGGUGUUGCGGGGAAACAGGACUGUUACUUUGAAAAAAUUAGAGUGAUUAAAGCAAGCUAACGCUUGAAUACAUUAGCAUGGAAUAAUGAAAUAGGACGAUCGAUCCUAUUUUGUUGGUUUCUAGGAUUGACGUA